AAUACAAUUCCAGCUCCAAUGGCUUACAUUUAAAUUCCUCGGUAUCUCGUGCCUUCGGGGAUUCAGUUGUAGCAUUUGGCACCCAAAACUACAAGAGGGUUGUUCCGUAUCCCUUUGGUGAUGGCAGUAGAAAACAUGGGAGAAUGAAUAGAGAUAAUUCAAUGAGUAUUAAUGUCGAUAGUGUACACCCAUUUGCUAAUGCAAGGACUAGUAUAGAGCAGAAACAAGAAGACCAAUCCAUCCACAAAAAGGACAUUCCCUUCAUAGAUUUUCUUGGUGUAGGUAUUUCUUCUUGAUAACUAUAUUAUUUAAUUCUUUUUCUUUCAAUUUACAUAGCACUAUUGGCAUGAAGAGUGCAUCUUAGUCCAAUCUCAAGUUUACGUUAAAUGAUGGCAUAAUUAUUAACAAGCUCAGUUUGACAUAGAUUAAUUUUAUGAGAUUAGAUGCUAAUGUAUUUUUAUAGUUUGCAGUCUUUGAUUUGUAUGACAUCCUAUUGAAUAUCGUGACUGUUCAUUUUAUUUUUCUUAUGGUACAUAGUCCUUGUUAGCACCAAAAAAUGAAUGAAUUAUGUCUUUCAUAUUGUAAUCUUGGAGUUAGGUUUCUUUCUAAAUAAUUAUGAGAAGGACAAAGAUACUCGUGACUACAUAAGAAGCCUAAAACACUGAUCUCUUGACGGCAUUUGAGAAGGUUUACUGAUUGUAAACUUCUUAAUUUUCUCGGAGAAGAAGAAAUGAUGGGGGAAAUUGAAUACCCAUCGGCCACAUGGAUAAUCCUGUGCAAAGGAA
rnacentral:lncRNA from 1 species